UGGGGCGUGCUCUUUACCUCCUCAUAUAGGCUUUAGAAGAACACAGAACAUUGGGGACAAACUUGUCAGAGCAGACGCCUUUAAAGUUCUUGUGCAAGACACUUUACCACCUGGGCAUCACAAAUGUGGUCACUGUGCGGCCUGUUCUUUGAUGUCAGAGACAGGUGUUCUGGAUUUUCCGGAACUGAAUUUUAAGAAAACACUCACCCAUUUUUCAUCUUGUGCCACGAAGUCCGUCAUUUACCUAAUUACAUGUGCUUGUGCGCACAGGUAUGUCGGGCAAACUUCAAGAGCAUUGAGAACUAGGAUCCUGGAACACAGAUCGAAAUUGAAGCAUAAAUGUAUAACGGCUCCUAUGGUCCAGCAUUUUGAUAUAGCGGGCCACGGACCCAAUGACUUUAAAUGUGUAGUCUUGGAAGUGGUGAAACCCAAACCUUAUACACACAGUGACAUGCAGAGAAUAUUACUGCAAAGAGAGGCUUUCUGGACUUUUGUAUUAAAAACAGAAUAUCCCACUGGUCUCAAUGCUGCCCUUGAUUUAUCAUGUUUUUUAGGAGAAUGAAUCUACACCCUCCUAUAUCCCUGCCUGUUAUUAUGUUCCUUAAACCCUUCAUGAGAUUCUCUAUUCUUAAUAUACUUUGUUCUAUACUCUUCCACAUAUUUACCCUCUUUGUAAAUAGCUGGUUGCCAACUUAUGAUAUACUUACCUUUUCUUCUGGUCAGUUGGCUGCCCAAACCGGAUAUGCACUUUGUAUUUAAAGAGGAAGCUUCCAAUUAACUAGCAAGACUGACUUGUCCAUGUAAAAGAAUCAGUGUGUAGGAGCCAACUUAUGACAUACUUACCUUCUCUUCUGGUCAGUUGGCUGCCCAAACCGGAUAUGCACUUUGUAUUUAAAGAGGAAGCUUCCAAUUAACUAGCAAGACUGACUUGUCCAUGUAAAAGAAUCAGUGUGUAGGAGCCAACUUAUGACAUACUUACCUUCUCUUCUGGUCAGUUGGCUGCCCAAACCGGAUAUGCACUUUGUAUUUAUAGAGGAAGCUUCCAAUUAACUAGUAAGACUGACUUGUCCAUGUAAAAGAAUCAGUGUGUAGGAGCUGUGUGAGCCAUUUUGAAUGUUUUGGAUACCCUUGUGGUGCAUUGAAUUGCAGAAGUUCAUUGAAUAUUGAAGACUGAGAUUGAGAAAGAUCACUCGAAACGAACGCAG